GAGGGUGUAGCUCAAGUAUAAAGCAUAUGCUUAGCAUGCAUGAGGUCCUGGGUUCAAUCCCCAGUCCCUCCA
rnacentral:tRNA from 1 species